GAUGAACGCUAGCUACAGGCUUAACACAUGCAAGUCGAGGGGCAGCAUGAACAAAGCUUGCUUUGUUUGAUGGCGACCGGCGCACGGGUGCGUAACACGUAUCCAAUCUGCCCGCGGCUCGGGGAUAGCCCAUCGAAAGAUGGAUUAAUACCCGAUGGCGUGGUUUCUCCGCAUGGAGUUUCCACUAACGAUUUUCCGGCCGCGGAUGAGGAUGCGUAUGAUUAGGUAGUAGGCGGGGUAACGGCCCACCUAGCCUUCGAUCAUUAGGGGUUCUGAGAGGAAGGUCCCCCACACUGGAACUGAGACACGGUCCAGACUCCUACGGGAGGCAGCAGUGAGGAAUAUUGGUCAAUGGGCGAGAGCCUGAACCAGCCAAGUAGCGUGAAGGAUGACUGCCCUAUGGGUUGUAAACUUCUUUUGUUCGGGAAUAAAGUGCAGUAUGUAUACUGUUUUGUAUGUACCGUUCGAAUAAGCAUCGGCUAAUUCCGUGCCAGCCGCCGCCGUAAAAC
rnacentral:rRNA from 1 species